rnacentral:rRNA from 1 species
CGAACGGGAUCCGGCCAGCUUGCUGGUUGGUGAGAGUGGCGAACGGGUGAGUAAUGCGUGACCGACCUGCCCCAUGCUCCGGAAUAGCUCCUGGAAACGGGUGGUAAUGCCGGAUGGUCCAGCAUGCUGCAUGGCGUGUUGGGAAAGAUUUAUCGGCGUGGGAUGGGGUCGCGUCCUAUCAGCUUGACGGUGGGGUGAUGGCCUACCGUGGCUUCGACGGGUAGCCGGCCUGAGAGGGCGACCGGCCACAUUGGGACUGAGAUACGGCCCAGACUCCUACGGGAGGCAGCAGUGGGGAAUAUUGCACAAUGGGCGCAAGCCUGAUGCAGCGACGCCGCGUGAGGGAUGGAGGCCUUCGGGUUGUAAACCUCUUUUAGCAGGGAGCAAGGCUUCGGUUGAGUGUACCUGUUGAAUAAGCACCGGCUAACUACGUGCCAGCAGCCGC